rnacentral:misc_RNA from 1 species
GAAAUGCGAUAAAUAAUGUGAAUUGCAGAAUUCAGUGAAUCAUCGAAUCUUUGAACGCACAUUGCGCUCGCCAGUAUUCUGGCGAGCAUGCCUGUUCGAGCGUCAUUUCAACCAUCAAGCUCUGCUUGCGUUGGGGAUCCGCGGCUGCCCGCGGUCCCUCAAAAACAGUGGCGGGCUCGCUAGUCACACCGAGCGUAGUAACUCUACAUCGCUAUGGUCGUGCGGCGGGUUCUUGCCGUAAAACCCCCAAUUUCUAAGGUUGACCUCGGAUCAGGUAGGAAUACCCGCUGAACUUAAGC